AGAGUUUGAUCAUGGCUCAGAUUGAACGCUGGCGGCAUGCCUUACACAUGCAAGUCGAACGGCAGCAUGAUCUAGCUUGCUAGAUUGAUGGCGAGUGGCGAACGGGUGAGUAAUACAUCGGAACGUGCCCUGUAGUGGGGGAUAACUAGUCGAAAGAUUAGCUAAUACCGCAUACGACCUGAGGGUGAAAGUGGGGGACCGCAAGGCCUCAUGCUAUAGGAGCGGCCGAUGUCUGAUUAGCUAGUUGGUGAGGUAAAGGCUCACCAAGGCGACGAUCAGUAGCUGGUCUGAGAGGACGAUCAGCCACACUGGGACUGAGACACGGCCCAGACUCCUACGGGAGGCAGCAGUGGGGAAUUUUGGACAAUGGGCGAAAGCCUGAUCCAGCAAUGCCGCGUGUGUGAAGAAGGCCUUCGGGUUGUAAAGCACUUUUGUCCGGAAAGAAAUGGCUCUGGUUAAUACCUGGGGUCGAUGACGGUACCGGAAGAAUAAGGACCGGCUAACUACGUGCCAGCAGCCGCGGUAAUACGUAGGGUCCAAGCGUUAAUCGGAAUUACUGGGCGUAAAGCGUGCGCAGGCGGUUGUGCAAGACCGAUGUGAAAUCCCCGAGCUUAACUUGGGAAUUGCAUUGGUGACUGCACGGCUAGAGUGUGUCAGAGGGGGGUAGAAUUCCACGUGUAGCAGUGAAAUGCGUAGAGAUGUGGAGGAAUACCGAUGGCGAAGGCAGCCCCCUGGGAUAACACUGACGCUCAUGCACGAAAGCGUGGGGAGCAAACAGGAUUAGAUACCCUGGUAGUCCACGCCCUAAACGAUGUCAACUAGUUGUUGGGGAUUCAUUUCCUUAGUAACGUA
rnacentral:rRNA from 1 species